UACGGAGGGGGCUAGCGUUAUUCGGAAUUACUGGGCGUAAAGCGCACGUAGGCGGAUUGGAAAGUCAGAGGUGAAAUCCCAGAGCUCAACUUUGGAACUGCCUUCGAAACUCUCAGUCUUGAGGUCGAGAGAGGUGAGUGGAAUUCCGAGUGUAGAGGUGAAAUUCGUAGAUAUUCGGAGGAACACCAGUGGCGAAGGCGGCUCACUGGCUCGAUACUGACGCUGAGGUGCGAAAGCGUGGGGAGCAAACAGG
rnacentral:rRNA from 1 species